UUGUUGUGUUGACCCGAUAUCAAAAUAGGAGAGAACUAGGUCACUUGAGAUUAAAAUGGGAAGGAAAGAAAAACACGAAAAACAACAAGGAGCGGCACAUCACUAUUUUGGGCAGAGAGCAAUAUCACAUAUUUUUGGAGAGAUAGAGAGAUGGCAUUUCUAGAGAAACACAAAGUAAGGUGUUAUGAGUAGAUUUAACUCAAGAUUUGUUGAGACAUCAUGGAUCUCGGCAUUGAAUCUUUAUCUCUUCUUCAUCCUAUGCAAAGCUAUCAUAGACAUAUGUAGCUACAUCUACCCUUCUGGGUUUUGAGGUAUUCAAACAAGUUAUUAUGUAAACUCUUGAUCAUUUAAUAUAUGGUUCUAGCUAUUUAUUCAAUAUUGUUGUUAUUCUU
rnacentral:lncRNA from 1 species